UACGAGGGGGGCGAGCGUUGUUCGGAAUUAUUGGGCGUAAAGGGUGCGUAGGCGGCUUUGGUAAGUCUGAUGUGAAAUCUAUGGGCUCAACUCAUAGUCUGCAUCGGAAACUGCCGGGCUUGAGUAUGGGAGAGGUGAGUGGAAUUCCUGGUGUAGCGGUGAAAUGCGUAGAUAUCAGGAGGAACACCUGUGGCGAAAGCGGCUCACUGGACCAUAACUGACGCUGAUGCACGAAAGCUAGGGGAGCAAACAGG
rnacentral:rRNA from 1 species